rnacentral:lncRNA from 1 species
UAAUCCAGUCUGAAAUUUCAGUUACGAUGUGCCUUGCUUGCCCUUCACCUUCCACCAUGAUUGUAAGUUUCCUGAGGCCUCCCCAGCCAUGUGGAACUUAUUCAGUCCAGGUUUAAGUCCUUCAGCAUCUGACAUUCUCCUGGCAACUGUAAUUGAAUCAAUGAUGACUCAUCUGAGAUGAGCAAGUUGGUCCAGUCAGACCAAACAAAAGACAUUCUAUAAUCAGGGGAGAAGUCUUCUCUAUAUCUCUCUUAUAUGAGCAAGAGCAGGAAAACCCUUAGUGAAACCUGCCUCUGCAGGUUGAUGGCUUGGGAGGAAAGGCAUUAUGGAAAAUGAUUAGGAAAAGUAGGAGAAAGAAGCUCUAUUCCAGAAGCAGUCUGGAGCACAAAGAAUCCCUAAUCACUGACAUUAAGAAAGAAGAAAAAUAUUCCUAGGACGAUCCUGGAGAGCAAAGGUCAUCAGCAGUCACU